rnacentral:rRNA from 1 species
CCUACGGGUGGCAGCAGUAGGGAAUGUUGCGCAAUGGGCGAAAGCCUGACGCAGCAACGCCGCGUGAUCGAGACGCCCUUCGGGGUGUAAAGAUCUGUCAGUGGGGACGAAACGUGACGGUACCCACAGAGGAAGCACCGGCUAACUCCGUGCCAGCAGCCGCGGGAAUACGGGGGGUACAAGCGUUGUCCGGAAUCAUUGGGCGUAACGAGUUCGUAGGCGGCACGUAAAGUCUGGUGUUAAAGGCAGCGGCUCAACUUCUGUACGGCACUGGAUACUUGCGAGCUAGACUGCGGUAGAGGUAACGGGAAUUCCUGGUGUAGCGGUGAAAUGCAUAGCUAUCACGCAGAACUCCGAUUGCGAAGGCAGCAUACCGACGCCCACCUGACGCUGACGCACGAAAGCGUGGGUAUCGAACAGGAUUAGAUACCCUAGUAGUC